ACCACACUACGACUCGCAUCUCCACAGCACAACAUCUUGCCUCCUCUGUCAUCAAGCUUCUCGCACCAGACUUAUAAAGGGAAAAUGAUGUUAAGCAGAGAGCCAUGGAGAGUGAUCCUGACAGGUACUCGUUGUGGAAGAGUUGUUAUACUCCACGUAAUCAUGAUCACCAUUUUCUGGUUUAGAUAAAGAACAAAGAAAUUACGACUUUCCAAAGCAUCAUGAUCUCUGUAACUAUAUGUUGUGAUGUUAAGAUUUACCAUUAGUGGUGAUUCCAUCACGUGUCUUCGGUGAUUGAACCUCCGCGCCUCGCCUCCAAGCUUUACUUCCUAGUGCCGCACCACACUACGACUCGCAUCUCCACAGCACAACAUCUUGCCUCCUCUGUCAUCAAGCUUCUCGCACCAGACUUAUAAAGGGAAAAUGAUGUUAAGCAGAGAGCCAUGGAGAGUGAUCCUGACAGGUACUCGUUGUGGAAGAGUUGUUAUACUCCACGUAAUCAUGAUCACCAUUUUCUGGUUUAGAUAAAGAACAAAGAAAUUACGACUUUCCAAAGCAUCAUGAUCUCUGUAACUAUAUGUUGUGA
rnacentral:lncRNA from 1 species